AUAGGGUCAAGUGAAUAAGUGCAUCAGGCGGAUGCCUUGGCGAUGAUAGGCGACGAAGGACGUGUAAGCCUGCGAAAAGCGCGGGGGAGCUGGCAAUAAAGCUAUGAUUCCGCGAUGUCCGAAUGGGGAAACCCACUGCAUUCUGUGCAGUAUCCUAAGUUGAAUACAUAGGCUUAGAGAAGCGAACCCGGAGAACUGAACCAUCUAAGUACCCGGAGGAAAAGAAAUCAACCGAGAUUCCGCAAGUAGUGGCGAGCGAACGCGGAGGAGCCUGUACGUAAUAACUGUCGAGAUAGAAGAACAAGCUGGGAAGCUUGACCAUAGCGGGUGACAGUCCCGUAUUCGAAAUCUCAACAGCGGUACUAAGCGUACGAAAAGUAGGGCGGGACACGUGAAAUCCUGUCUGAAUAUGGGGGGACCAUCCUCCAAGGCUAAAUACUCAUCAUCGACCGAUAGUGAACCAGUACCGUGAGGGAAAGGCGAAAAGAACCCCGGGAGGGGAGUGAAACAGAACCUGAAACCUGAUGCAUACAAACAGUGGGAGCGCCCUAGUGGUGUGACUGCGUACCUUUUGUAUAAUGGGUCAACGACUUACAUUCAGUAGCGAGCUUAACCGGAUAGGGGAGGCGUAGGGAAACCGAGUCUUAAUAGGGCGAUGAGUUGCUGGGUGUAGACCCGAAACCGAGUGAUCUAUCCAUGGCCAGGUUGAAGGUGCCGUAACAGGUACUGGAGGACCGAACCCACGCAUGUUGCAAAAUGCGGGGAUGAGCUGUGGGUAGGGGUGAAAGGCUAAACAAACUCGGAGAUAGCUGGUUCUCCCCGAAAACUAUUUAGGUAGUGCCUCGAGCAAGACACUGAUGGGGGUAAAGCACUGUUAUGGCUAGGGGGUUAUUGCAACUUACCAACCCAUGGCAAACUCAGAAUACCAUCAAGUGGUUCCUCGGGAGACAGACAGCGGGUGCUAACGUCCGUUGUCAAGAGGGAAACAACCCAGACCGCCGGCUAAGGUCCCAAAUGAUAGAUUAAGUGGUAAACGAAGUGGGAAGGCACAGACAGCCAGGAUGUUGGCUUAGAAGCAGCCAUCAUUUAAAGAAAGCGUAAUAGCUCACUGGUCGAGUCGUCCUGCGCGGAAGAUGUAACGGGGCUCAAAUCUAUAACCGAAGCUGCGGAUGCCGGUUUACCGGCAUGGUAGGGGAGCGUUCUGUAGGCUGAUGAAGGUGCAUUGUAAAGUGUGCUGGAGGUAUCAGAAGUGCGAAUGUUGACAUGAGUAGCGAUAAAGCGGGUGAAAAGCCCGCUCGCCGAAAGCCCAAGGUUUCCUACGCAACGUUCAUCGGCGUAGGGUGAGUCGGCCCCUAAGGCGAGGCAGAAAUACGUAGUCGAUGGGAAACAGGUUAAUAUUCCUGUACUUGAUUCAAAUGCGAUGUGGGGACGGAGAAGGUUAGGUUGGCAAGCUGUUGGAAUAGCUUGUUUAAGCCGGUAGGUGGAAGACUUAGGCAAAUCCGGGUUUUCUUAACACCGAGAAGUGAUGACGAGUGUCUACGGACACGAAGCAACCGAUACCACGCUUCCAGGAAAAGCCACUAAGCUUCAGUUUGAAUCGAACCGUACCGCAAACCGACACAGGUGGGCAGGAUGAGAAUUCUAAGGCGCUUGAGAGAACUCGGGAGAAGGAACUCGGCAAAUUGAUACCGUAACUUCGGGAGAAGGUAUGCCCUCUAAGGUUAAGGACUUGCUCCGUAAGCCCCGGAGGGUCGCAGAGAAUAGGUGGCUGCGACUGUUUAUUAAAAACACAGCACUCUGCCAACACGAAAGUGGACGUAUAGGGUGUGACGCCUGCCCGGUGCCGGAAGGUUAAUUGAAGAUGUGCAAGCAUCGGAUCGAAGCCCCGGUAAACGGCGGCCGUAACUAUAACGGUCCUAAGGUAGCGAAAUUCCUUGUCGGGUAAGUUCCGACCCGCACGAAUGGCGUAACGAUGGCCACACUGUCUCCUCCCGAGACUCAGCGAAGUUGAAGUGGUUGUGAAGAUGCAAUCUACCCGCUGCUAGACGGAAAGACCCCGUGAACCUUUACUGUAGCUUUGCAUUGGACUUUGAAGUCACUUGUGUAGGAUAGGUGGGAGGCUUGGAAGCAGAGACGCCAGUCUCUGUGGAGUCGUCCUUGAAAUACCACCCUGGUGUCUUUGAGGUUCUAACCCAGACCCGUCAUCCGGGUCGGGGACCGUGCAUGGUAGGCAGUUUGACUGGGGCGGUCUCCUCCCAAAGCGUAACGGAGGAGUUCGAAGGUUACCUAGGUCCGGUCGGAAAUCGGACUGAUAGUGCAAUGGCAAAAGGUAGCUUAACUGCGAGACCGACAAGUCGGGCAGGUGCGAAAGCAGGACAUAGUGAUCCGGUGGUUCUGUAUGGAAGGGCCAUCGCUCAACGGAUAAAAGGUACUCCGGGGAUAACAGGCUGAUUCCGCCCAAGAGUUCAUAUCGACGGCGGAGUUUGGCACCUCGAUGUCGGCUCAUCACAUCCUGGGGCUGUAGUCGGUCCCAAGGGUAUGGCUGUUCGCCAUUUAAAGUGGUACGUGAGCUGGGUUUAAAACGUCGUGAGACAGUUUGGUCCCUAUCUGCAGUGGGCGUUGGAAGUUUGACGGGGGCUGCUCCUAGUACGAGAGGACCGGAGUGGACGAACCUCUGGUGUACCGGUUGUAACGCCAGUUGCAUAGCCGGGUAGCUAAGUUCGGAAGAGAUAAGCGCUGAAAGCAUCUAAGCGCGAAACUCGCCUGAAGAUGAGACUUCCCUUGCGGUUUAACCGCACUAAAGGGUCGUUCGAGACCAGGACGUUGAUAGGUGGGGUGUGGAAGCGCGGUAACGCGUGAAGCUAACCCAUACUAAUUGCCCGUGAGGCUUGACUCUAU
rnacentral:rRNA from 1 species